rnacentral:rRNA from 1 species
AACGAACGCUGGCGGCGUGGAUAAGACAUGCAAGUCGAGCGGAGCAUUUUGGGUAGCAAUAUUCAGAGUGCUCAGCGGCGCAAGGGUGCGUAACACGUGGGUAAUCUGCCUUGAAGUUUAGAAUAACUCCGAGAAAUCGGAGCUAAUACUAAAUGUAAUUCUACGAGCAAACUCUUAAGAUUUAAAGUUGGGGAUCGUAAGACCUGAUGCUUCAAGAUGAGCCUGCGGCCUAUCAGCUAGUUGGUGAGGUAAUUGCUCACCAAGGCAAGGACGGGUAGCUGGUCUGAGAGGACGACCAGCCACACUGGAACUGAGACACGGUCCAGACACCUACGGGUGGCAGCAGUCGAGAAUUUUUCUCAAUGGGCGAAAGCCUGAAGGAGCGACGCC